GUGUUCCCUGCGUCAACAAUUUAUUCAUUCCACAAACAUUUCUAAGUGUCCAUGGUGACCCAGACAUCAUGGGAACUUCAGGGUUCCAGAGCUGAGUAGAACACAACUCCCAUCCUUAGGGAUUCACCAUCCAGUAGAGGAGAAAGACGUCGAGACAGAAGACAGAAGGGAAAGGAAAAGCUCAAUGCUGUGCCUUCAACUUAGCUUCUCCAUUUUUUGGAGAAGGGUUAAUAGGGGAAGCAGAGAGAGAGAGAUGAGAGACCAAAGUUUCUAGGGCCUUUAUCUCCAGAGCAGAGGGUCUGAAACCUUAGUGAGCAAAAACUGAUCCGGAAGACUUGUUGGAGGCAUACCUUCCAGUUCAGCGAGCCAUUUCAGCAGAUUGGAGAUCCCCUGCCUGCAGCACGUGCUGAUCUCCAAGGGUGAGGCUGGAUGAAGCCAGGGGCUAUGGAAAGGGAGACUGUUUCAGAGGACUUGACACCAUCUUCAGUAAUUUCUCUGGUUCUUGGCAGCUCCAUUUGGCUGCGUCCCUACCCUGCAUAACCCUCCCAGCUAGUCUACUCCAGGGCAGCAUCCAGCUGGUGACCUGAGAGGGCAGUGGCGCACCAGUCUCCAUGAAGGUUGAGCUCCGAUGGCCAACAGCCAUUUCCACCUUGUGGUCUACAACUCUUCAUCCCGACUGCAUGGAGGUUGGUCUCUCUCUUCAGCUGGAUUUAGGCCACCAUCUGAGCCCCCGGGGUACGUUUUGUCUGACCCUGGCGCCAUUCGAACGGUUCUUCUACAGCAUCAGGCGUUCACCUGGCUCCUAGGGCUUUUGUGCUGUAGGCCUAUAUUUCCAGCUACUUUUGGAAAAAAUCUCUCUGGAGGCUCAAUGAGCUUGUCACAUCAGCCUGCCCAGAGUAUCAAGAAAGACUUAAUCAGCAGUGAAUACUCUCCACCAAGCCCUUGACCCAUUGUCAGUCUCUGGCAUCAGAUCCUUUCCAGUAGGGCAAAGUGCAACUGCAGCCAGCUCAUGCCUUCAAGAGAAGGACUGAAGAUCAUUGUGUGCCUAAACCAAAGAUCUGAAUGACAAGAAGAAGCCAGCAUGCCAAUGUUGGUGGGCAGAGUAUACUGGGUAGAGAGACCAGCACAAGUACAAAACUCUAAAGUGGGAAUGAACCUGGAUGAGUCUGAAGGAUGGGAAAAAGAAUCAUGUGGCUGGAUUUGAUGAGCAAAGAGGUGAAUAAGAGGAAAAAUUAAGUCAAACAGGAAGACACAGACUAGAUCAUGUAAGGCCUUGGUAAGUGAUAUGGUUUGGCUGUGUCCCCACCCAAAUCUCAUCUUGAAUUGUAGUUCCCAUAAUUCCCACUGUUGUGGGAGGGACCCAGUGGGAGAUAAUUGAAUCAUGGGGGUGAUUACCCCAUGCUGCUGUUCUCAUGACAGUGAGCGAGUUUUCACGAGAUCUGAUGGUUUUAUAAGUUUUAUAAGGGGUUUUCCCCCCUUUUGCUCGGCACUUCUCUCUUGCCUGCCACCAUGUAAGACAUACCUUUGCUUCUCCUUCUCCUUCUGCCAUGAUUGUGAGGCCUCCCACCCAUGUAGAACUGUGAGUCCAUUAAACCUCUUUUCCCUUAUAAAUUACCCAGUCUCAGAUAUGUCUUUCUUAGCAGCAUGAGAACAAACUAAUACAGUAAAUUUGCAUAAGACAUUUGCCCUUCCCUUUGAAAGCAAUGGGAAGCCAUGCUCUGCAUACUCAGAAUAAGAGUGAGAUUGGAAACCAUGGUGAUUGAAGACCUAUUGGGAGUGAAGACUUGAGCCUUGAAGGAGAGAGUGACUGCAAAGUUUCUCAGAUAUCUGCAACUGGGGAUGAUAUCUGGAUGGGAUGCCUGGGCCCUGGGGUUAGUGAGGAGUUCAAAGAAGAAGGAGCAGAAAUGGAUUCAGGAGAGAGUGAGCAGAGACUCAAUGUUCUGUAAGUAAGUGCUCCUACAGGGGAAGGGUUAGAGAGGUCGGUAGAGGGGCCCAGGAUUCCGGGAAGCUGGAGAUUCCAGCUCUAAGACAUGCUAUUGUAGCCUCAAGACAGAUGCACAAUUAUAGGUUGCAACAGUGGAGUGAUUUUGAAGAAGCAAAAAUACUCAGUGCAAUGGACUGAAUGUUAGUGUCCUUCCAAAAUUCAUAUGUUGAAACCCUAAUCUACUAUGUGUUAGGAUUAGGAGGUAAAGCCAUUGGGAGGUAAUGAGGGUGGAGUUCUCAGGAAUAGGAUUGGUGCUCUUAUCAACAG
rnacentral:lncRNA from 1 species